rnacentral:rRNA from 1 species
GACGAACGCUGGCGGCGUGCCUAAUACAUGCGAGUAGAACGCACAGUUUAUACCGUAGCUUGCUACACCAUAGACUGUGAGUUGCGAACGGGUGAGUAACGCGUAGGUAACCUGCCUGGUAGCGGGGGAUAACUAUUGGAAACGAUAGCUAAUACCGCAUAAUAUUAAUUAUUGCAUGAUAAUUGAUUAAAAGGUGCAAUUGCACCACUACCAGAUGGACCUGCGUUGUAUUAGCUAGUAGGUGAGGUAACGGCUCACCUAGGCGACGAUACAUAGCCGACCUGAGAGGGUGAUCGGCCACACUGGGACUGAGACACGGCCCAGACUCCUACGGGAGGCAGCAGUAGGGAAUCUUCGGCAAUGGACGAAAGUCUGACCGAGCAACGCCGCGUGAGUGAAGAAGGUUUUCGGAUCGUAAAGCUCUGUUGUAAGAGAAGAACGGGUGUGAGAGUGGAAAGUUCACACUGUGACGUAUCUACCAGAAAGGACGGUA